rnacentral:rRNA from 1 species
UAAAGCACUUAAGGGCGUAUGGUGGAUGCCUUGGCUCUGAGAGACGAUGAAGGACGUGGUAAGCUGCGAUAAGCUUCGGGGAGCUGCACACAAGCAUUAUAUCCGAAGAUCUCCGAAUGGGACAACCCGGCACACUGAAGGUGUGUCAUCCGCAAGGAAGUCAACCUCCUGAACUGAAACAUCUAAGUAGGGAGAGGAAAAGAAAACAAACGUGAUUCCCUGAGUAGUGGCGAGCGAAAAGGGAACAGCCCAAACCGGUGUAGCGUGCUGCACCGGGGUUGUAGGACCACAUUUAGAAAACAACAUCAAGCUGAACAUUCUGGAAAGUUUGACCAUAGCAGGUGAUAGUCCUGUAGGCGGAAAUUGUUGUGGACGCGUGGUAUCCUGAGUAAGGCGGGACCGGAGGAAUCCUGCCUGAAACUGCCGGCACCAUCCGGUAAGGCUAAAUACUCCUCAGAGACCGAUAGUGAACCAGUACCGUAAGGGAAAGGUGAAAAGCACCCUAAACAAGGGAGUGAAAUAGUACCUGAAACCGUGCGCCUACAAGCGGUCGGAGCCAGCAAUGGUGACGGCGUGCCUUUUGCAUAAUGAGCCUACGAGUUACUCCUCACUGGCGAGGUUAAGUUCUUCAGUAACGGAGCCGUAGCGAAAGCGAGUCCGAAUAGGGCGACUAGUCAGUGGGGGUAGACGCGAAACUUUGUGAUCUAUCCAUGGGCAGGUUGAAGUGGCGGUAACACGCCAUGGAGGACCGAACUCAUUAGCGUUGAAAAGCUAUGGGAUGACCUGUGGAUAGGGGUGAAAGGCCAAUCAAACUGAGAGAUAGCUCGUUCUCCCCGAAAUGUUUUUAGGAACAGCCUCGUAUAAUGACGUUUACCAGAGGUAGAGCUACUGAUUGGGCUAGGGGGCUUCACCGCCUACCAAACCCUGACAAACUCCGAAUGCUGGUAAAUAUCUACGGGAGUGAGGCUGCGGGUGCUAAGAUCCGUGGCCGAGAGGGAAAUAACCCAGAUUAGCAGCUAAGGUCCCUAAGCGUAUGUUAAGUUGAUCAAACGAGGUGGGACUUCUAUAACAGCCAGGAUGUUGGCUUGGAAGCAGCCAUUCAUUUAAAGAGUGCGUAACAGCUCACUGGUCGAGAGGUCCUGCACGGAAAAUAAUCGGGCAUCAAACAUACCACCGAAGCUCUAAGAUGCACACUAGGUGUGUUAUCGGUAGGGGAGCAUUCUGAACUGCAUCGAAGGUGUACAGCGAUGUAUGCUGGAGCGUUCAGAAAAGAAAAUGUAGGCAUAAGUAGCGAUAAAAGUAGUGAAAAACUACUUCACCGUAAGACUAAGGGUUCCUGAUCAACGUUAAUCGGAUCAGGGUUAGUCGGGUCCUUAGGAAAACCCGAAAGGGGCAUCUGAUGGAAAACUGGUUAAUAUUCCAGUACCUGCUUUAGUUUCGAUGGGGUAACGGGGUAGUGAAAGGUCCGCGCACUUACGGAAUAGUGCGUUAAAGCGUGUAGUUAUAUUUUGUACCGGUAAAUCCGUACGGAAUGGCGAACGUGAUAGUACUGCAAAGCUUCGGCAGCGCAGAUAGUGACCCUAAUCAAACCCCCGAGAAAAACCUCUAAGGUGUGGCUAAAGCAGCCCGUACCGCAAACCGACACAGGUAGUCGAGGCGAAUAGCCUAAGGUGCUCGGGUGAGCCGCGGAGAAGGAACUAGGCAAAUUGUGGCUGUAACUUCGGGAUAAAGCCAACCGCAGCGAUGCGGUCUCAGUAAAAUGGUUCAACCAACUGUUUAACAAAAACACAGGGCCCUGCAAAAUCGUAAGAUGACGUAUAGAGCCUGAUACCUGCCCGGUGCUGGAAGGUUAAGGAAGGAUGUUCGGCGCAAGCCAAAGCUUCUGACUGAAGCCCCAGUAAACGGCGGCCGUAACUAUAACGGUCCUAAGGUAGCGAAAUUCCUUGUCGGGUAAGUUCC